AACGAACACUGGCGGCAGGCCUAACACAUGCAAGUCGAACGAAGUCUUCGGACUUAGUGGCGGACGGGUGAGUAACACGUGGGAACGUACCUUUUGGUUCGGAACAACUCAGGGAAACUUGAGCUAAUACCGGAUGAGCCCUUAGGGGGAAAGAUUUAUCGCCGAAAGAGCGGCCCGCGUUAGAUUAGCUAGUUGGUGAGGUAAAGGCUCACCAAGGCUACGAUCUAUAGCUGGUCUGAGAGGAUGAUCAGCCACACUGGGACUGAGACACGGCCCAGACUCCUACGGGAGGCAGCAGUGGGGAAUCUUGCGCAAUGGGCGAAAGCCUGACGCAGCCAUGCCGCGUGAAUGAUGAAGGUCUUAGGAUUGUAAAAUUCUUUUACCAGGGACGAUAAUGACGGUACCUGGAGAAAAAGCCCCGGCUAACUUCGUGCCAGCCGCCGCAGUAAAAC
rnacentral:rRNA from 1 species